CCUCCUCUUCUCCCUCCCCAUCAAGGUGAACAGUGCAAAAGCCACAUUAAGCAGCCAUGGGCUUAACAGAAGUCCACCUUCAGCCAAGCAUGGGCUCCAGGGUCUCUGCAGUAACCUCAGGCAGCUUCACUCACCACAGCAGCUGUCAGGACCCACACACUUUCUCAGCAGCCAUCCCAGCUUUCAAAGAAUCUGGCACAGCUUCAGCCUCUCCCGGCCUUACAUUCUUAGUGAAAAUUCCUGCCUCACAUGUGUUAAGGAAGAAAUCAAGGAGAAGCUGGGGCAGGACACUUGCUCCAAGUUGGAAGCCAGGCUGGAGUACACAGCAAGUAUUGGAGCACCCUAAGCUACGCAGUGAGACCCUAUGUAAAAU
rnacentral:lncRNA from 1 species